CAGCACUUUGCAUCCUAAAAAUCUGACCCCCGAAAGAACAGACACGGGGACAGUCCUGGAUCUCGGGGGGACAGGGAUGGAGGAGCUUCCCGGGGAUCAGGGGGCAUUUGGGGAUUUUGGGGGGGAGCACAGGGAUGGAGGAACUUCCCGGGGAGCAGAGAGAAUUUGGGGAUUUUAGGGAUUUUGGGGAGCACAGGGAUGCAGGAGCUUCCCAGGGAUCACAGGGGAGGUUUUUGGGAUGCAGGAGCUUCCCGGGGGACCGGAGAGGGUUUUUUGGGGAGCACAGGGAUGAGCUCAGCCCCCAGCCCCGAGCACUCCCACCAUCUGCCUUUCCCAGGCAGGCGCUCAGGAAACUUCUCCCGGCUCCAAUUGCUGCGCUCCACCUUUUAUUCUAAUGAAUUCCGCAUCGCCAUCCGGGACCCCGGGGCUCGCAGGUACCGCAUCCCCGGGGAGCAGAACCGGGCUGGGACGGGGGAUUCCCUGCCCGGGACCCCGGGGCUCGCAGGUACCGCAUCCCCGGGGAGCAGAACCGGGCUGGGACGGGGGAUUCCCUGCCCGGGACCCCGGGGCUCGCAGGUACCGCAUCCCCGGGGAGCAGAACCGGGCUGGGACGGGGGAUUCCCUGCCCGGGACCCCGGGGCUCGCAGGUACCGCAUCCCCGGGGAGCAGAACCGGGCUGGGACGGGGGAUUCCCUGCCCGGGACCCCCAACCCGGGUUGGGGUGCAGGAAAUGUUCCAGCUGUGCUGCCCAGGCUGGGUUUGGGGUGGGAGCAGCUUUUGCUGGGGCUCGGAUGGGUUUGGGAGAAGCUUGGGAUUUGGGGAAAUCCAUCCCAGCUUGGCCGGGGUUGGGCUGAGCCUCCCCCUGCGCUGCUCCAAACGGGGUGGGACAUCCCAAACACUCCCUGGGGCUCGGAUCUGCCCGGAUCCAGGGCCCAUCUCCCCCAGGGUGCUGGAUCCAGGCAGGAUUCCAGCCCGGAGAGGCACCCACGGGAAGAGAGAGGCGCGGGAGCCCUUCCCGUUAUCCACAGGAAACUGCCCCGCAGUUUUGAGCAGGGUUUGGAAUGUGAGGGGACACCCGACAUCCAGGGAAUCCUGACAAAUCCCAGAAAUCCUUCCUGGGCGCGGUCCGGACCCAGGGCAGGGUCUGUCCUGGGUUUUGGAUCCCUUUGUCCAUCCCGCAGGGCUGGGGGAGCCCCUGGAUCCUGCCGGGUCCUUGGGAAGGGCAGCACUGCCCGCUCCCGGCUGUGCCCGGCUCUCCAGGCUGCGAUGGAUGCAGGGGGUUUGGGAACAGCCAGGCUGCAGGUGGAGAGUGGCUUCCUGAGCUUGCCAAAAAAUCCUGAAUUCCCUGUGAGCCUCCCGGCCCUUCCCUGUGCCUGUUGCUGCAUCCUGGGGCCGUUUUCUCCUCCUCCCUCUCUGCUUUCCCCACAUCCAGUUCCUUCUCCUUCACCAUCUGUUUUUCCACAUCCAAUUCCUCCUCCGUCACCAUCUCUGCUUCCCCCACACCCGAUUCCUCCUCCCUCACCAUCUCAGCUUUCCCCAUGGCCAAUUCUCCAUCCCUCACCGUCUCUCUCGUGCCAAUUCCUGCUCCCUCACCAUCUCUGCUUUCCCUGUGGCCAAUUCCUUCUCCUUUACCAUCUCUCCUAUGCCUGUAUCCAAAUCUCUCUCCCUCACCAUCUCUCUCAUAUCCAAUUCUCCCUCCCUCACCAUCUCUCCCAUAUCCAAUUCUCUCUCCCUCACCAUCUCUCCCAUAUCCAAUUCUCUCUCCCUCACCAUCUCUCCCAUAUCCAAUUCUCUCUCCCUCACCAUCUCUCCCAUAUCCAAUUCUCUCUCCCUCACCAUCUCUCCCAUAUCAAAUUCUCCCUCCCUCACCAUCUCUCCCAUAUCCAAUUCUCUCUCCCUCACCAUCUCUCCCAUAUCCAAUUCUCUCUCCCUCACCAUCUCUCCCAUAUCCAAUUCUCUCUCCCUCACCAUCUCUCCCAUAUCCAAUUCUCUCUCCCUCACCAUCUCUCCCAUAUCCAAUUCUCUCUCCCUCACCAUCUCUCCCAUAUCCAAUUCUCUCUCCCUCACCAUCUCUCCCAUAUCCAAUUCUCUCUCCCUCACCAUCUCUCCCAUAUCCAAUUCUCUCUCCCUCACCAUCUCUCCCAUAUCCAAUUCUCCCUCCCUCACCAUCUCUCCCACGCCAAUUCCUGCUCCCUCACUGUCUCUGUUUCCCCUCCAGGAGCUCUGUGCUCGGCCAGGAGCCGAUCCCGAGGGGUUGCCCAUGGAAUAGGCUCUUUUCCCGGUGCCUGGGCACAGCGGGAGGCUGGAGUUUGUGCCCUGAUCACGCCCUGCCCCGGAGCCCCCGGCCUCUGCCAUGAAUGAUGCGUCCACCAUGGAUUAUGAACUGCUCUCCCCGUCCCUGGUGGAGCACCCCGCCGGCGCCGCGGGCAUGGACGCCGAGCAGAAAACCGUGUUUGCCUUCGUCAUCUUCCUGCUGGUGUUCCUGGUGAUGCUCAUGGUGCGCUGCUUCCGCAUCCUGCUGGACCCCUACAGCCGCAUGCCCGCCUCCUCCUGGACGGACCACAAGGAGGGCUUGGAGCGGGGCCAGUUCGACUACGCGCUGGUGUGAGGGCGGGGGGCUCGGGGCAGCCCGGGGUGGGGCCGGGACAGCCCCAGGGUGGGCUCAGGGCACCCCAGGGUGGGCUUGGAGCAGCCCCAGGGGGGCUUGGAGCACUCCAGAGUGGCUUGGGGCAGCCCAAGAGUGCCCCCCCCCCCCCCCCCCCCCCCCCCCCCCCCCCCCCCCCCCCCCCCCCCCCCCCCCCCCCCCCCCCCCCCCCCCCCCCCCCCCCCCC
ensembl:lncRNA